AGUGAACGCUGGCGGUAGGCCUAACACAUGCAAGUCGAACGGCAGCACAGUAAGAGCUUGCUCUUACGGGUGGCGAGUGGCGGACGGGUGAGGUAUACAUCGGAAUCUACUUUUUCGUGGGGGAUAACGUAGGGAAACUUACGCUAAUACCGCAUACGACCUACGGGUGAAAGCAGGGGAUCUUCGGACCUUGCGCGAUUGAAUGAGCCGAUGUCGGAUUAGCUAGUUGGCGGGGUAAAGGCCCACCAAGGCGACGAUCCGUAGCUGGUCUGAGAGGAUGGUCACCCACACUGGAACUGAGACACGGUCCAGACUCCUACGGGAGGCCGCAGUGGGGAAUAUUGGACAAUGGGCGCAAGCCUGAUCCAACCAUACCGCGUGGGUGGAGAAGGCCUUCGGGUUGUAAAGCCGUUUUGUUGGGAAAGAAAAGCAGCAGGUUAAUACCCCGCUGUUCUGACGGUACCCAAAGAAUAAGCACCGGCUAACUUCGUG
rnacentral:rRNA from 1 species